UCUCCGUUGGUGAACCAGCGGAGGGAUCAUUGCUGGAACUGUGUCCGCAAGGACACAACCCCUGAUACCCUUUGUGAACUUACCUUUGUUGCCUCGGCGGGGCCUACCCGGUACCGACCCCUUUUGGGCGAAGUUACCCUGUAGCCCGCCGGUGGAUUUUCAAACUCUUGUUAUUUUAAUGUUAUCUGAGCGUCUUAUUUUAAUAAGUCAAAACUUACAACAACGGAUCUCUUGGUUCUGGCAUCGAUGAAGAACGCAGC
rnacentral:misc_RNA from 1 species